AGAGUUUGAUCCUGGCUCAGGACGAACGCUGGCGGCGUGCCUAAUACAUGCAAGUCGAACGCACUGACAGAGAAACUUGUUUCUCUUGACGUGAGUGGCGCACGGGUGAGUAACACGUGGGAAACCUACCCUUCAGCGGGGGAUAACCGUCGGAAACGAUGGCUAAUACCGCAUAGGUCUUUUAACCGCCUGGUUGAAAGAGGAAAGACGGCUUCGGCUGUCACUGAAGGAUGGUCCCGCGGUGCAUUAGCUAGUUGGUAAGGUAACGGCUUACCAAGGCGAUGAUGCAUAGCCGACCUGAGAGGGUGAUCGGCCACAUUGGGACUGAGACACGGCCCAAACUCCUACGGGAGGCAGCAGUAGGGAAUCUUCCGCAAUGGACGCAAGUCUGACGGAGCAACGCCGCGUGUGUGAAGAAGGUCUUCGGAUCGUAAAGCACUGUUAUUAGAGAAGAACAACCGGUAGAGUAACUGUUACCGGCUUGACGGUAUCUAACCAGAAAGCCACGGCUAACUACGUGCCAGCAGCCGCGGUAAUACGUAGGUGGCAAGCGUUGUCCGGAUUUAUUGGGCGUAAAGGGAGCGCAGGCGGUGACUUAAGUCUGAUGUGAAAGCCCACGGCUCAACCGUGGAAGGUCAUUGGAAACUGGGUCACUUGAGUGCAGAAGAGGAAAGUGGAAUUCCAUGUGUAGCGGUGAAAUGCGUAGAUAUAUGGAGGAACACCAGUGGCGAAGGCGACUUUCUGGUCUGUAACUGACGCUGAGGCUCGAAAGCGUGGGGAGCAAACAGGAUUAGAUACCCUGGUAGUCCACGCCGUAAACGAUGAGUGCUAAGUGUUGGAGGGUUUCCACCCUUCAGUGCUGGAGUUAACGCAAUAA
rnacentral:rRNA from 1 species